rnacentral:lncRNA from 1 species
UUUUGUCUGUUCUCAUGAAGGACUUGCUUUCUGCCUCUGGUUUCUGGCAUUCACAUUGCAUUAAGUUGCCAACUUCACUUUUAAUAAUAUCUCCAUUGCAUGCUGAACUUGCCCAGGAUUCUGGAAGCUCCUGAGAGACUGGAGGACAUCUGGGUCUCACAUGUUAGUCUGCUCUCACCCAAGACAACCGUGUUCCGCUUCUGCCCGCUGACCAAGCAGCGUCCUUUUGGAAAAUUACUUUAUGCUCUUCAUUUCUCCAAACUUUCCUUGGAUUUGUGUAUCUAUUCAAAGAUGUCAUCUGGACGAUUGUUCUCUGGAGAAUCAGUUUCUUUGUGGCAAGACUGCACAAGGAGUUGAUGAUGGUUGUAGAGUCAGCAAAAGCCCAGAACUAUGGCAUUUGGAUAAAAGCAGAAGUUUUGGCAAACAGACUAUGAACACAGAAUUGAGAGAUGGAAAGUUGCGCCUCAGGACGUCCAGUCACUCUAUGAACACCAGGAACCCAGACUUGAUUGGCAGCCACCAGGCACCCAGUAUUCCUGACUGCCAAGCACCAGUUCUGCGUGUGGAGUGUGGGGAACACCAUGCUGAAUAGUGAGGCUGGGUCUGCUGAUGUGCUUUCUGCCUUUGUCAGCAUUGCUGUAGCAUCUGUGAACAGACCUUCUAGAUUCUGUCUUGCAAAAACUGCCCUAUAUUUAGCAGUUGCUAUUUGUAGAUUCUUCUGGUAUUUAUUGUUCUACACGUUUGUCUGCAGUGAAGCAUUUGCUCAGAAUUCAGACCAUCUUUGAUUUCUUAUAAGCUUUAUCAGUCAGUCUAAACGCUGCCUCCCCUGUUUUACAUAGCCAUGUGGCCAGAAGGAAACGGUGAUGACUUGAUCCUGACCAUCUCAUCAAGUUCUGAUCACCUUGUCAGAUCUUCAUUACCUAGUACUGGUCCACCUCACAAUAUAAUUAUAACAAUGACUUUUUACUUACUGUGUUUGACACGUCUCUAUCUGGGAUUUGUAAUCAGACAGUCCUUUGUCCACAGCGUGCAGUGGGCAGAAUGACCUCCAUCUCUAUUCCCAGAGAUGUCCACAUGCUAAUUCCCAGAACCUUGAAUAUGUAACUUUACAUGAUGAGGAAUAUGGGAGGCAGCAGAUGGAAUUAAUUCUGCUAAUCAGCUGACUUUGAGAUGGAGAUAUUAUCCUGAAUUAUCUGGGUAAUCACUUAGUUGGUCCAAUGGAUUCUCAAGAGGGAGGUGAGCGAGUCAAUGUCAGAGUGACGCAGCAUGAGACUCAACAGGCCACUGCUGGUUCUGAGGGUGGAAGGAGAGCCAGAGAGCUUCUAGAAGCUGGGCAAGGCAAGGGCAUGGGUUCUCCCCCUACAAAUUGCAGAGGAAACAUCUGCUGAAGCCUUGAUUUUAGACCAGUGAGAUGCAUUUUGGACUGCUGACUUGGGGAACUGUCAGAAAAUAAUUAUUUGUUAUAUUCAAUCACAAAGUUUAUGAAAAUUUGUUACAGCAGCAAUAGGAAACUAGUACAACUCAUCUCUGCCAUGUCUAUCAAUGUGCAUAAUGGGAGCAAGGGCAAAGAUUGUAGGAGAACAUACAACUUCCUUAAAAUGAUAAUUUGAUAGAUUAUCAAAGACUUGAUAAGAAUUGCAUAUAGACUGAGAAGGAAUUGAUGGCCGAUUUUUGGAAAGGAGGCAAGGUACAAAUUGAGUCUGAACUGAAAGAAUAAAAUAAUAAAUACAACAUUUGAGAUCA